GACGGAGGAUGCAAGUGUUAUCCGGAAUCACUGGGCGUAAAGCGUCUGUAGGUGGUUUAAAAAGUCUACUGUUAAAGCUUGAAGCUUAACUUCAAAAAUGCCGUAGAAACUUUUAAACUUGAGUAUGGUAGGGGUAGAGGGAAUUACCAGUGGAGCGGUGAAAUGCGUAGAUCUUAGAAAGACCACCAAUGGCGAAGGCACUCUACUGGGCCAUUACUGACACUAAGAGACGAAAGCUAGGGGAGCAAAUGGG
rnacentral:rRNA from 1 species